rnacentral:rRNA from 1 species
GCUCAACCGGGGAGGGUCAUUGGAAACUGGGAAACUUGAGUGCAGAAGAGGAGAGUGGAAUUCCACGUGUAGCGGUGAAAUGCGUAGAGAUGUGGAGGAACACCAGUGGCGAAGGCGACUCUCUGGUCUGUAACUGACGCUGAGGAGCGAAAGCGUGGGGAGCGAACAGGAUUAGAUACCCUGGUAGUCCACGCCGUAAACGAUGAGUGCUAAGUGUUAGGGGGUUUCCGCCCCUUAGUGCUGCAGCUAACGCAUUAAGCACUCCGCCUGGGGAGUACGGUCGCAAGACUGAAACUCAAAGGAAUUGACGGGGGCCCGCACAAGCGGUGGAGCAUGUGGUUUAAUUCGAAGCAACGCGAAGAACCUUACCAGGUCUUGACAUCCUCUGACAACCCUAGAGAUAGGGCUUUCCCUUCGGGGACAGAGUGACAGGUGGUGCAUGGUUGUCGUCAGCUCGUGUCGUGAGAUGUUGGGUUAAGUCCCGCAACGAGCGCAACCCUUGAUCUUAGUUGCCAGCAUUCAGUUGGGCACUCUAAGGUGACUGCCGGUGACCAACCGGAGGAAGGUGGGGAUGACGUCAAAUCAUCAUGCCCCUUAUGACCUGCGCUACACACGUGCUACAAUGGACAGAACAAAG